GUGAGGAAUAUUGGUCAAUGGGCGAGAGCCUGAACCAGCCAAGUCGCGUGCAGGAAGAAUGUCCUAUGGAUUGUAAACUGCUUUUGCAGGGGAAUAAAGUUCAGCACGUGUGCUGUUUUGUAUGUACUCUGCGAAUAAGGAUCGGCUAACUCCGUGCCAGCAGCCGCGGUAAUACGGAGGAUCCGAGCGUUAUCCGGAUUUAUUGGGUUUAAAGGGUGCGUAGGCGGGUUAAUAAGUCAGUGGUGAAAGUUUGCAGCUUAACUGUAAAAUUGCCGUUGAAACUGUUAAUCUUGAGUGUAGAUAAGGUAGGCGGAAUGUGUUUUGUAGCGGUGAAAUGCAUAGAUAUAACACAGAACCCCGAUUGCGAAGGCAGCUUACCGGGCUACCACUGACGCUGAUGCACGAAAGCGUGGGGAUCAAACAGGAUUAGAAACCCCGGUAGUCC
rnacentral:rRNA from 1 species